UCAAUAGUCACAUGAUAGGAAAUGACUGUAGAAACUUGAAGAGUAUCAUCUUAUAAUAAAUUAGCUACCGAUUGAUACCAAGUUGGAGGGGUAUGAUUGUCCUGGAGCAAAGCUACAAGCCAGUUCAUGGAACAAGUAUGUUAAGGUGCCUUUUCUUCUGCUUCUGUAACUUUGGUUCUGCAUCUGAUCACAACUGUAGAGCUGGCUAAUGUUGUUCAGAGUAUCCAAAGAUGUCGUACAUGAGUUCGUUGAACUUCAAUGACAUCACUGUUGCUCAUUUCGACAUGUGAGUCGACUGUUCAUCACUCUCACUCUCAUUGCUGCUCUGUCAGUAUCUUCAUGCUCUGUUGCUAGAGCUUCAACAGGCAGGUGAGACGCUAUAUAUAACAUUCUUCCUACAAAGCAAGCAACUAUAGUUUUCAGGUUGUAUAUCGAGAAACGACUCAGCAGCUUGGAGUUGCUGCAGCACUUCCAGGAUUUGGGGUGGAAAAAUUUGGAGAGGUCUCUCUAGUUUUCUUACACAGAGAGAGCACAUGCAUGCAUUGUUUGCACAAUCGGUGCAUAUCGGCCUGAAUGUACUGCUGAACUUACAUGACGUAACUUUCUUCUAGCAAUUUCAUGAUCAUUCUAUUAAUUUAGUGUGUUGUAGAAUAGAUGAUAUAAGUUUGUUGAUGUAUGUGCAUUGUCUUUAUACCUUGCCAGAACUCAGACAAGUGGCUCAACUAGUAACACCAUGUGGUUGGUGUGUGAAGUACGCCCACUUUGACAUGCUCUACCGUAAUGAAUAUCCAGUAGAACAGUCCAGUUUUUUGGAAAUAUUCGGCAUCAGCCUUUAAACUAUUGAUAUGCAAACUUUGGAGCUGGGAGGGAGUGCGGAACCGUUUUUUACAUCGGCUAAUGUGCAGGUAGGUCAAAACCGCAAGAUUUGGUGGCUGCACAAAAAGCUCUCGUUGUAAAGCAAGACUCUGUGUUAAAAUUGUGAUAUACAUAUUGUUAUGAAGAGGAUGCAAUAACAAUAAAGAAGAUGCAAAUAUAUAUUGUAUACAUGCAAGGAAUAAAAAGUUACACUGAGCUAAAGUUAGUGCAGAAAUUGAGCUUGAAACCGCAGAUCCAGAUAGACAACAGGAAGUACUUCCGGUUCGUGAGGUAAAUUUUGCCUUGGCCAUUCGA